UACGGGGGGGGUAAGCGUUGUUCGGAAUUACUGGGCGUAAAGGGCGCGUAGGCGGCCACCGCAAGUCGACUGUGAAAUCUCCGGGCUUAACCCGGAAAGGUCAGCCGAUACUGCGGGGCUAGAGUGCAGAAGGGGCAACUGGAAUCGUCGGUGUAGCGGUGAAAUGCGUAGAUAAUCGAGAGGAACACCUGCGGCGAAGGCGGGUUGCUGGGCUGACACUGACGCUGAGGCGCGAAAGCUAGGGGAGCGAACGGG
rnacentral:rRNA from 1 species